GAUGAACGCUGGCGGCGUGCCUAACACAUGCAAGUCGAGCGAUUCUCUUCGGAGAAGAGCGGCGGACGGGUGAGUAACGCGUGGGUAACCUGCCCUGUACACACGGAUAACAUACCGAAAGGUAUGCUAAUACGAGAUAAUAUGCUUUUAUCGCAUGGUAGAAGUAUCAAAGCUCCGGCGGUACAGGAUGGACCCGCGUCUGAUUAGCUAUUUGGUAAGGUAACGGCUUACCAAGGCGACGAUCAGUAGCCGACCUGAGAGGGUGAGCGGCCAAAUUGGAACUGAGACACGGUCCAAACUCCUACGGGAGGCAGCAGUGGGGAAUAUUGCACAAUGGGCGAAAGCCUGAUGCAGCAACGCCGCGUGAGCGAUGAAGGCCUUCGGGUCGUAAAGCUCUGUACUCAAGGAAGAUAAUGACGGUACUUGAGGAGGAAGCCCCGGCUAACUACGUGCCAGCCGCCGCCGUAA
rnacentral:rRNA from 1 species